rnacentral:rRNA from 1 species
GAGUCGGACCUGCCCGGUGACCUACGGGUUAAACGGCCGCGGUACACUGACCGUGCAAAGGUAGCACAAUCACUUGCCUUUUAAUUGGAGGCUGGUAUGAAUGGUUUGACGAGGGCUGAGCUGUCUCUUCUGAAAUAUUUAAAAAUUAACUUCUAGGUGAAAAGGCUUAGAUUGAGCUGAGGGACGAGAAGACCCUGUUGAGCUUUAGUGUGGAAUAAAGGUCUGUGUUUCUAGUUUAAGUAGAGAGCCAAAAUUUAUUUUUACAUCUUUAGUUGGGGUGACUGGGGAACAUAAAUAGCUUCUCUGUUUUUAUUUAAUUGAAUUCAGUUUACUGGCUGAUGAUCCAGCAUUGUUGAUUAUCGGAAAAAGUUACCACAGGGAUAACAGCGUAAUCUUUCUGGAGAGUUCACAUUGAAAGAAGGGUUUGCGACCUCGAUGUUGGAUUAAGGUGUCCUGAGGGUGUAGCAGCUUUCAUUGGUUGGUCUGUUCGACCAUUAAAACCUU